UACGUAGGGGGCUAGCGUUGUCCGGAUUUAUUGGGCGUAAAGAGCGUGUAGGCGGCCAGGUAGGUCUGCUGUGAAAACUCGAGGCUCAACUUCGAGCUGUCGGUGGAAACUGUCUGGCUAGAGUCCGGAAGAGGAGAGUGGAAUUCCACGUGUAGCGGUGAAAUGCGUAGAGAUGUGGAGGAACACCAGUGGCGAAGGCGACUCUUUGGCCUGUAACUGACACUGAGGCGCGAAAGCGUGGGGAGCAAACAGGG
rnacentral:rRNA from 1 species